AUGCUGUUGCUUCUGCUGCUCCUGCAGCCCGGCUCCGGGCUCGGCGCCCUCGUCUCCCAGCACCCACGCAGGGCCGUCUGCAAGAGCGGCGCCUCCGUGAAGAUCGAAUGCCACGCCGUGGACUUUCAGGCCAUAACUGUGUUUUGGUAUCGUCAGUUCCCGAAACAGAGCCUCAUGCUGUUGGCAACUUCUAAUGAAGGCUCCAGUGUCACAUACGAACAAGGGGUUCCCAGGGACAAGUUUCCCAUCAGCCACACAAACAGCACAUUUUCAACCCUGACGGUGACGAGCGCGCGUCCUGAAGACAGCAGCCUCUACGUGUGCAGUGGCAGUGACACAGCGCGGGGAGGAGACCCGAGACCGCGGCAAGAACCUGAGUAG